rnacentral:lncRNA from 1 species
UUUCAUUCAGAUUUGACUCUAUGCUCUCUUCCAUCAUCCGGAAGAAGCCUGCGUUGCUUCUAUACAUCUCAAACACCAUGCCCACUUGCCCGCCAUGCUCCAUUGUGUUCACCACGCUUGCCAUGGCUCCAGCUACGACUCCUAGUGUGGCGGCCCAGGGACCGUGAGAAGAUCCCACGAACGCAGUUCCACAAGCCGCUAAGCCUGUCAAUAAGGGACCAGAAAUGGCGAGCAUCCUGUUAACUUUCAAGGCUAUUUUGCCCAGCCUCAAAUAGUCUUCAGUGUCCUUUCUCUUCAAAACCCCAACUACUUCUCUCAUUUCUUCCUCCAACUCCACACUCCAACCAUUUCCAUCUGUUCUCCCACUCUGCCUGUCCUGCCUUUGCCUGUGCUCCGGCCACCAUACAGCAGGCUCCACAGUUUUGGGGAAUUUAUCGAGCAUCGCUCCUAGUAAAGGAAGCGGGAAGGCCUUGUCCAGUGACAAAACUUUCUCCAUAACUUCCUCAACAUCGGUACUAGUAGGAGUGCCACAAGAGAGUGUUCUUUGAAUCUGGCCAUGAAGCUGCUUAAACAACCUCGCGGCAUUGCGCUGUUCUUCGACGAGUUGAGAUGGCUGGAUCUUAUUCAUCACCACCAGCAUCCCAGUGGCUGCCAAAUACAUCAGAGUGGAAGAGAGCUUGAGAGCUACAAGGGGUCCUCCUACACUUGUAGCGGCAAUUCCAGCCAUGGUUGCAGCAGUGAGUGUGAUUGCAUUAAUGGAUGUCAAAAGAAGAUGGUUCCAAUUAUCACGCUGCUCACCGAUAUUCUUGUGCAUCUCCACUCUAUCUGCAACAGCCUCCAUCAUUGCAUGGAGUUUAGCGAUCACCAAAGGAUCAGAAACAUUGCUCACAGAAGGGAAAGUACCAUUAGUACUCAGCUCGUAUUUCUUCUCCAAAUUGCUGGUGGUUGCAGCUGUGAGACCAACCCCCAUGUCCAGUACUUCCUGUAGUACCAAAUCUCUAGCGGGGAGGUUCAAAGAUAGGCGGCCGGGCUGGAGUUUAGGCAUAUUGAUAGUAGCUCUUAUCAUUCCUCUCCGGCAACGAGAUGAGGAAUAAGCCACUGACGUAAUAACAGCCGAUGAAAAUUGAAGACUCACCAUGUCCUCUCCUUGAACGAUCUGUAUUGAGUUUCUUCUUGUUGCUAAGAUUGGUUGAUUCUAAUGGGUAUGUAGUGAAUGGCUUAGGCUUGUAGUGAAAUGUGGUGGCAAUGCAACCUGGAUUAUAUAUAGGGAAUGGGAGUGGACCAAGUACGCUAUUCAACGUUUGAAUGGUCUCAUGGGUCUUGGCUUAGACCGUUUCUUGUCUUUGGUUCAUUGGUGUUUCACUGCUUGUCAGCUUGGGCAUCGAGGCAGUACUUCAUUGACUUUCAACCUGCAAAAACCAGUAAAACCUUGAAAUAAUAAAAUCAACCUUUUGCUUCUCCAAUAUUUCUGGGUCUGAAUUCUGUAGCCAUAUAUCGUUGAUCAGCAGUGACGUAACUAAAACAUGGGAUUUGUUCAAAGAUUACAAGUAUUUUGAGCAUUAUCACCAUUUUAUGAAAUUUCCAGACGUCUUUCUUUCCAAUCAACAUACCGUAUUCCAAUGAGAGAAUAGGCUUUCUUUUUGUCAAUUUUUUUUUAAAAAAUUUUAUGACUAAAUCACAAAUUCAAAAUAAUUUAUUAGUAGGGUCAAUUAUUAUUCAAAAAUAACAAUGAGAAAUAAAGAGAUAAGUUUAGUCUUGAUAUUUUUUUUUUUUCUUACAAGCUUUAUAGUUUUUAUUUUUAUUUUUUAUCUAUACGUAUAUAUUUGAUUUUCUUCCUAUUUCUAUGACAAAUCAAAUAGAUAUUUUGAGUUUUUUAUAUUUUAUUUUAUUUUUUCCUUUUUUAUGAUCCUAACACAAGGUAAUUAAUUAUCAGAAAAAAAUCCCUCAAUUAUUAUAGGAAUUAUAUUAUAAUAAAAUGAUUGGUCUCAUUAAUGUUUAUAAUAUAAUUAAGAUAAUUGAUAAUAUAUAGAAGAAAAUGGAGAAGUUGUUGUUCUCAAUUAUAGUUUAUUUAAUAAAAAAAAAACAUUUUAAAUAUUUUUCUAACUUAGAAAACAAGUUUACAAAACUUGUACAAAAUCAAAAAUUUUUAAAAAUAAUUCUGAAAAUAAAACAUUUUUUCUUUUAAAAAAAAAAUUGACAAGUUUUCAAUUGUUUUUAAAGAAUAUUUUGAGUAAGAAAAAUGCUUUGGGACUUUUUCAUGGUACAUAAAAUAUAUAAAUACUUCUUAAGAAUAAACCACCAAAACUAUUUUUUAUAUUAAAUUUCUAAUCAAAAUUUUGUUAAUUUUGUUAAUUUUUCUUUUAAAAACGAUUAAGAAUUACUCUUAAUAUCUGUUCUAAAACUGUCGGCCCUUUGUAUUUGACUGGUCGCUGGACCAUGGAGCGGCGGUUAGAAUUUGACAGUUUGGCGGCAUCCUUUAGCAAAGAUGAGGUCAUGGGAAUAGGAGGACAGGCGCCAGUGGGCGCUGGCCCUAGUUUAUUUGGUCAAAAAGUGCUACUGUUAUAAUCCAACAUUCAGCCCUCCAUGGAAAUUGUCUUGAGACCCAAAUGUUAUGGCUUAAAGCAAGCACUAAAUGCAUCGUAUGAUCAAAUUAAUGGAUACGUCAAGGAACAAAGUGAAAAUCUAUGUUGUAUGUUAAGACAGGAGGUAUGAAUGAAAUACUUAGUAUUUGCCUUUAAGUUUAUGAUUUGAUUUAUACUAAUAAAUGUAUUAUUUUAAUGAAAGGAUUUUAAAAAGAUGAUGAUGAUUAAUUUGAGAUGAUUGAUUUAACUUGACGAGUUAUUUUCUUACCUGAUGAGUUGUUUUCUUAUGUUGGAAGUCAUCUAAUGGGAUGCAAAAAAAUUUAUUUUUCAAGAGAAGCAUGAAAAUAAUCUUCUGAAUGCCAAUAAAAAUUUUUGUUUAAAUGAUAAGGAAGAAAAGGUUGAUAUUCAAAUAUAAUGAAGUUUGAUUGGUAGCUUAUUAUAUCUCACCAACAAUGGGUUAGAUAUUAUGUAAGCAACAAAUCUCUUAUUAAGGUUUAUGCAGAAUUCAAGCAAGUUUCAUUACGGUGCAAGUAAGAAAGUAUUAAAAUAUUUAAAAUGAACAAGUUCAUAUAGAAUUUGGUACACUAAUACAACUGAAAGGAAAACCUGGUGACCUAUAUAUUUUUAGUAGAAAACACUACCCAUAUUCUCUAUCAAUCUCCUAUUAAUCUUGGUUGUAAUAUCCAUAUUCUCUAUCAAUCUUCUACCAAUCUCGGUUGUAAUUUACAGCUCACACACAUCUCUUGUUACCAGUAUAUAAUACAAUGAAUCACAAAGGAAUGACAUGCUCUCAUUUUUUUAUUCUUUGUGUAAACCUAACAAUAACUAAUCGUUAGCUUUGGAUUUUUUUUUUUAUUGUGAUUGGAUAGGUUUAAUCGAAGAUUGAAAAAUAACCAUACACUAUAUUUUCAAUCUUAGUUCAGGUUAGUGGAAUUCAAAGAGUCAUCAAUUGUUUUGUCUUCCUUAGAAGCGGAACAUAUUGCAACAACUUUUAGAGCUCAUGAAAUUGUUUGGUUAAGAGGAAUUUUAGAAGAUAUGAAACAACAUCAAGAAGAGCCCACAAUUAUCCAUUAUGAUAAUAUUCAACAAUUUUUGUGACAAAGAACCUCCUUGUUUCAGGGGUGCACAAAACAUAUAGAGAUACUUCUUCAUUUUAUCAAAGAGUUGACGGUCAAAGUAACUAUUAAAAUGAUAUAUUAUAACAUCAAUGAAUAACUUGCCGAUAUAUUUAUGAAAUCUCUAUCUUUAGAGACAUUUGAGUUUUCUUGGAUAUUUUAGGAGUUGCAACAUUUCAGCAUUAAGUAGAGAGUUGGAAUUAAUGUUGAUAUUUUAUUGGUUAGCUACAAUUUUAUUUUAAAUCAAAUAAGAUACCAAAUUUUGUACUUGUAUAAGUGGGUUAGUAUUAGAAGGCUAGUAGUUAACUUAUUUAAGAAUUUGUUAGAGUCAGAUUGUUUAUUUAAAUGCAAAAUGAUGAAUAAAAAAUCAAUCUAAUUCAAUUAGACUUCUUGCUUCUUAUCCAAACUUUUUUAAGUGCUCUAUUUUAUUUUACUUCUCACUUCCUAAUAGUUGAACUUCUUUUGGAUUAUCAGGGUCAUUCCUUAACUUAGGCUUUCUUUGGUGCUAUCAUCUCGCUUGUAGAUUUAGAAAUAUUUCCCUCAAAUAUGGGAAGAAAAAUGUGAAAAUAUUUCAAUUAAAAAGUAAAGAGUAUGUGGGGGAGGAGGAGGGAAAACAGGGAAACUAGUAUUAUACCAGGCACAUGCAAUGAUGCUGUGGAAGAUGACACGGAACUGGCCCUCUAUUCCUAUGUAUUGUUUGCAAGAUUUCAUAUAAUAUUGAAGUUAUACAAGGAUCAAGGUGAGGGUUGCCUAACUAUAUUUCCAUGAAAACUUGAAGAUAUGAUCAUGGACAUUACCAGCCCAUAGUAGACCAUGAAUACAAAGUUGUUCCAAGGUGGAGAUGUCAAUUAUUCGAUCAUGAACACCUUAAAUAAAUAAUUUAAUUCGAAAAUUAAUUAGAAUAAAACAACACGUUUGACAUAAAUCAGUACCCAUAGUAGACCCUAGGAUUUCCGGAAAUUUAAGGUUCACAUUUAACCCUAGAAGUCAACAUGUGUGUAAAAGUACUCCACGAAAUCUAUAUAAAACUAGAACAUUAUUUCUAAAUCUUGGAGUCUAUUAAUUAAUUUUUCCUUCCUGUUGGAUUCUAAUUCUCAGCAUCAAAGUUCGUUAAAAUUAAAUGGAGUGACAACUAUCUAGUGUAAAGAAAGAAUCAUUUGGUGGCAAACCCACCAUUUACUUUGGCUUAUGAUAGAAGUCCGAACCUCCUCAGACUCAAAACUACCUGCCUUAUUUCAAUAGGGUCCAAACGAAGGAAUGAUAAUUUUGACCUUUUCCAUGUAUAGUUUACAUUGUUUUUCCUCCUCCAAUGGCCUCUAUAUAUAGUAUAUAUGGACUCGACUAACCCACCAAUCCCAUAAGAAAAUAAAACUUUUUUGUCUCAGAAGCUGCAUUUUCUUAGUUGCCAUUUGGAUUUUCAUGCUUUCUUCACUAGAAAAAAAAAACUAAAGAAACUUUAGAUGAUAAGGAAAAAGUAUUAAGUAUUACAUUGUUUAUUAUUCAUGGACUUUCACUCCAAAUUGACCCAGAAUACAUCGGUUUUAGCUGAAAGCAUAUAAAACUUAUUAAUUUUCAGUUUUGAUGAGCAGAUGUGUUCAAAUUGCUGUAUAGAAAACCGACUAAUUCAAUUUCCAUGGAAUAUUCAGACCUUUUAGCAGUCUGAUUUCAAUUGAAUGAAUGAAUAAAUGAAUUACUAGAUUGUACAGCUCUAUUGUGUUUAUAGACAAGGUUAGCUUACAAUGAUAUACAAGAUUUAGUGUAUUAUCAACAAAACUGAGGAUGAACCACCACGAUAUUAGAAGAGCUUGCUUGCGAACUCUUCAAUGGCCUCUCCUUUUUGGGAAGAAGAAUAAGAGGAUGCUGCCAGAUCCUUGAGCCCGGACAAGCUUCUUCCUAGCUGUAGAGCCAUCUUCAUUCAAACAAUUCCCCAUUCUCUCUUCUCCCCACAUCUCUUUCAUUCAGAUUUGACUCUAUGCUCUCUUCCAUCAGCCGGAAGAAGCCUGCGUUGCCUCUAUACAUCUCAAACACCAUGCCCACUUGCCCGCCAUGCUCCAUUGUGUUCACCACGCUUGCCAUGGCUCCAGCUACGACUCCUAGUGUCGCGGCCCAGGGACCAUGAGAAGAUCCCACGAACGCAGUUCCACAAGCCGCUAAGCCUG